rnacentral:lncRNA from 1 species
UUCAGCAAACAAAAACAAGAGUUAAAAUACGAAGUAUUAUAGUCACGUGAUACAUCCCCUGCGUCAGGAAGUGGCCCGACGUGAUAAACCGAACGGUCCGGCCGGAGGACAAGGAAGCGUGGAAGAAGAACCGAAGCUGUCGAAGCAACGUUCGCGGGAAGUCUAACCGCUUGAAGCACGUUGCAGAGUCGAGACCAGUUGAGCGGCCGGAAUUUUACGAACGAUUAUGCAAGCGUACGUCUUGAGGACGACCAUGAGCCACAUAUCAUCUCAAAUUUCUGCCCGUCAAGCAUUGUGACGAAACGGAAUCGGACUUCUUCAAGGCGCGGAUCCUAAAGUUGUUUGGAUCGCAGAGUGACGCGGAAACCCAGUGACAGUAAGCGGGUGCUAGUACCUCCGACGAGAUGAGUGACUGCCCGGGAGGGCUGGAGGAAGCUUGUGUGAGUCAGGUAAUUGUAAUUUCAUUUUCGCGCUUGCGAAGCUAUUCAUAAGACGUAUUUUAAAUUUGAGAUUUUCUUUAGUUAUGCCGUCACAAGUACAAGGAAUUUCAUUGAUAGGGGUGCCGUGUGUUUGUUUUCAUAUGCCCAGAAACUAGGUAAAGGUUAUGUGUUUUAACCAUUUCGUCGUUUACUCUGAGACUGGGGGGUUUUUGAAGAGCAGAAGUAGCAGAAAAAACAUACAGGUCUCAAGACCUGUCUGUUUUUUCUGUUACUUCUGCUCUUCAAAAAACCCCCAGUCUCAGGGUAAACGACGAAAUGGUUGACUUCCACCAGCUAGCCUGUACUUUGACUCUUUUCUCGUUAAUGUGUUUUAACAUUUUUUCUGUGCUGAUAGGCUUAAGGUUAGAAUGAAUUAUAUCUGUCAAGGCGUGGCGCAGUCUGUGUCUAUUUGGAGAAGAGGUAUCUGUGUGCAUGCGUGCGUGCAUGUUUGUUUGUUUGUUAGUUCGUUGGGGUAGAGAGAGGAGAUGAAGAAGAGGAGGAGGGUGAGGGAUCACGUCGAAUCAUUCAAAUCGUUAACUCCGACAGUAAUGAGGUAAGAAGGAUACCUGCUAGUUACACCGGUUCGGUUUUGUGCCAAACUCAAAUUGCGUUUUGCCGCGUAAAUAUUGCUACAAUUUUUUUUUCAUCAACAAAAUUAAUUUUGAGGCAUGCCGUUGACAAAUAGGACCCCUGUUUUCAAUCCCAGUCCAGGUUAUUCGCGACUCCAGCGAACUAUAGAUGGCGCGCUGCUCAGGCAAAAUUGGGACGAAAGAAGGUCGUUUUCGUUGUUCAGUAUGCGGACCAUCACAAAUUCCUGCACUGCAGCAUAAAAUCGGUGUUACAUUUGAAUGCAAAGCGAUUUUUCGACCCUAGAAACGUUCGUCUACUCAGUGCGUAGGGAGGACCCGGUGGAAUCAUUAAAAUAAUUACUGGAAACAAUGUUUGUUUCUAUGCUGCCUACGAGAACCAAGCAGCGAUAGCAGACGACAGAGUCGGGACAACCUCCUCUCCUGAGCUUCUCGGCGCUGCCGCUACGCGGCGUCGAUUUCGCUGGAGUCACGAAUAUUGCGCUGGCAAAUUUCCUGUACAUAGUGCUGCUUCAAAGAUGAACUGAAGUUUAUGUCUUCUAUGUGUGCAUUGGCAAUGGCAUGUGGCUCAACAAGACUUCACACACGAAAGUUCUCAAAUAGAAGAGGGAAUCAAUGUUCAUCCGGUAAGGUUUGGUAAUUAUCUCCGCCACAGAUGGCCUCCUUGGCGAAUUGUAACCGGCAGACCUUCAAACCGCACAAAGGCUAAGCAAAGCCACAACUGGAUGCAGCAAGACUAAAAGCUUUAUAAUAUACUGUAAGGACUAUGGCUUUAUAAUAAGCCUUUUAUAGCAAAACAUACUGAUCUGAAAAGCGUUGUUUGUGGUUAUUUUAAAGUGGUAUACGGAAACUUUGUCGUAUUGUAUUAAUUCUGGUUCACUGCACAGUUGAAAGAUGAACUAAAUCAAAGUUAUGACUGCUGGUGUCAUGUACAUAUUCAGAACUUUUUUUUAUUAAAAUAAUUGUAAUCAAGUGUUUUUAUGGGUUUUAGCACUGUGAUUAAGAUACGUCAAUGUGUUUUCUAAGAAAGACUACUAAUUUGCAGUUUGUAUCUUCUCCUAAAAUAUUUUGUAGAUCUGAGCAUGUAUUCAUACCUGAAUAUGUGCCAGGCAUUCCCCAGUAUGUGUAUAAUUGUUUACUAGGCCUGUAAGCUUCCCCACUACAUCAUUGCCGUUAUGUUAACGCUUCCCAGCUAUUAUUCGAGAGAGAUAAGUGUUUCUCAUGAUCAAUUAGGUUGAGAUUGUUUAGCGUUAAUGCUUUUGAGUCCCCCAUUUUUAAUUCCUGACAGAGCGCUUCAAUGUCGGUUUAUUUUUGGUUUGCCGCUAUUUAUCACCACAAGCAAAAACAUCACGCCACUGGGAUUAACCCGAAGCUCACCUCAUGAUUAACGACGCUGCCGUCCACUGUCUUAAGGUGGGCCUACGUUCAUGGGUACUUGUCUAGUGGUUCUGGAGUUGAUGUUGCUGAGAUAACCGAGACGCCGAUUUCUACGAUGGCCUCUGUCAGCAUCAUGGUCAAUUACAGCUGGCCCAAACCAGGCCAAUCAACGUGCUGGCCCGAACCAGGCCAAUCAACGUGCUGGCCCGAGCCCGGCCCGGGCCCACAGUCAAAAGUCCGAGCCCAUCCCAGGCCUGGGCUUUCGGCUCAGCAAAGUCUGUGGAUCUGGUUAUGCUUCCUGUACGAGACAGAUCACGAAGCGGUUGCUGACUGACCAGUUGGGGCGAAAAUGUUUGUGGGAAGGACGCAAGAGAAAGUUGACAUUCAGGAACCUUCACCUUGCUGAGUGCAUCAUAAAUGCAGUGCAGAGCUGCCAUAAAUGUGAAGACUUCAAGGUAGAAACCAUGGUCACGGAUUAACUUCGCCACGCACCUGCCUGACAUCAGUCAUCUCAAAUGGAACAUUCUGCACCACAGGAGAUAGAGAUGUGAACUGCCUUAAGUGGGCCUUGAAUGUGCUGAGCUUUUUAUUAUGUUUAUCAGACAUUUUUUUUAAGCAAAGUAUCCUGCAUUGUUCAGUAAGUAUACUUUAUUUUGAAAACCUCAUGCUGUCUAUGCAGCAUUGUUCAAAAAUUAUACUUUAUUUUAAAAGCAUCAAGCACUGCUCGUCUGUCUAACAGUAACAAUAAAGAGUUAAUGGUGA